AUGAAGAAAAGCACUGAACUGAGGAGAGAUGGUUGGAGGAAGCCGCUUGAAGGUUUCGUGAAGUUAAAUGUAGACGCAUCUUUCAAAGCACACUCCCUCCAGGGAGUUGUAGGUGCCACCCUACGUGAUCAUAAGGGUGGGUUCAUUGCGGCGUCGAAUGAACAGCUGGAGCAUGUCGCAGAUGCAGGGAUGGCGGAAGCAUACGCAUUACGACAUGACUUACUAUUGGCGCAACAACUGGGGAUAAGCAAGCUUGUGGUUGAGUCGGACUGCCUUGAGGUGAUCAAUACUAUGAAUAAUGGAGGCUUCACGGCUUCAGGCGCAGUGGCAAUUUAUUCGGAUUGUUUGGUCCUGAUUAUAGGAUACACUUUGGUCACUUUUGUCCAUUUCCCUCGGGAGGCAAAUUCUGUAUCUCACGAUUUAUCUAGGCUGGCGAGGCCGUCCCCUUCGCUAUGGGUCGAGGAACCGCCGGCUUUCAUUGUAAAAGGUUUGGUGGACGAUGUAACAGUUAUAUGA
rnacentral:rRNA from 1 species